AAUGGGCGCAAGCCUGAUCCAGCAAUGCCGCGUGCAGGAAGAAGGCCUUCGGGUUGUAAACUGCUUUUGUACGGAACGAAAAGGUUCGGGUUAAUACCCUGGGCUCAUGACGGUACCGUAAGAAUAAGCACCGGCUAACUACGUGCCAGCAGCCGCGGUAAUACGUAGGGUGCAAGCGUUAAUCGGAAUUACUGGGCGUAAAGCGUGCGCAGGCGGUUUUGUAAGACAGGCGUGAAAUCCCCGGGCUCAACCUGGGAAUGGCGCUUGUGACUGCAAAGCUGGAGUGCGGCAGAGGGGGAUGGAAUUCCGCGUGUAGCAGUGAAAUGCGUAGAUAUGCGGAGGAACACCAAUGGCGAAGGCAAUCCCCUGGGCCUGCACUGACGCUCAUGCACGAAAGCGUGGGGAGCAAACAGGAUUAGAUACCCUGGUAGUCCACGCCCUAAACGAUGUCAACUGGUUGUUGGUCCUUAGCUGGAUCAGUAACGAAGCUAACGCGUGAAGUUGACCGCCU
rnacentral:rRNA from 1 species